GAUGAACGCUGGCGGCGUGCCUAAUACAUGCAAGUCGAGCGAACGGACGAGAAGCUUGCUUCUCUGAUGUUAGCGGCGGACGGGUGAGUAACACGUGGAUAACCUACCUAUAAGACUGGGAUAACUUCGGGAAACCGGAGCUAAUACCGGAUAAUAUUUUGAACCGCAUGGUUCAAAAGUGAAAGACGGUCUUGCUGUCACUUAUAGAUGGAUCCGCGCUGCAUUAGCUAGUUGGUAAGGUAACGGCUUACCAAGGCAACGAUGCAUAGCCGACCUGAGAGGGUGAGCGACCAAACUGGAACUGAGACACGGUCCAGACUCCUACGGGAGGCAGCAGUAGGGAAUCUUCAGCAAUGGGCGAAAGCCUGACGAAGCAACGCCGCGUGAGUGAUGAAGGUCUUCGGAUCGUAAAACGCUGUUAUUAGGGAAGAACAUAUGUGUAAGUAACUGUGCACAUCUUGACGGUACCUACUCAGAAAGCCACGGCUAACUACGUG
rnacentral:rRNA from 1 species